GAUGAACGCUGGCGGCGUGCCUAAUACAUGCAAGUCGAGCGAACAGACGAGGAGCUUGCUCCUCUGACGUUAGCGGCGGACGGGUGAGUAACACGUGGAUAACCUACCUAUAAGACUUGGAUAACUUCGGGAAACCGGAGCUAAUACCGGAUAAUAUAUUGAACCGCAUGGUUCAAUAGUGAAAGACGGUUUUGCUUUCACUUAUAGAUUGAUCCGCGCCGCAUUAGCUAGUUGGUAAGGUAACGGCUUACCAAGGCGACGAUGCGUAGCCGACCUGAGAGGGUGAUCGGCCACACUGGAACUGAGACACGGUCCAGACUCCUACGGGAGGCAGCAGUAGGGAAUCUUCCGCAAUGGGCGAAAGCCUGACGGAGCAACGCCGCGUGAGUGAUGAAGGUCUUCGGAUCGUAAAACUCUGUUAUUAGGGAAGAACAAAUGUGUAAGUAACUAUGCACGUCUUGACGGUACCUAAUCAGAAAGCCACGGCUAACUACGUG
rnacentral:rRNA from 1 species